rnacentral:rRNA from 1 species
GAAUUAGAAAUACAGGUGCUGCAUGGCUGUCGUCAGCUCGUGUCGUGAGAUGUUGGGUUAAGUCCCGCAACGAGCGCAACCCUUGUCCUUAGUUACCAGCGGGUUAAGCCCGGAACUCUAAGGAUACUGCCAGUGACAAACUGGAGGAAGGCGGGGACGACGUCAAGUCAUCAUGGCCCUUACGACCAGGGCUACACACGUGCUACAAUGGUAGGUACAGAGGGCAGCUACACAGCGAUGUGAUGCGAAUCUCAAAAAGCCUAUCGUAGUCCAGAUUGGAGUCUGCAACUCGACUCCAUGAAGUAGGAAUCGCUAGUAAUCGCGGAUCAGAAUGCCGCGGUGAAUACGUUCCCGGGCCUUGUACACACCGCCCGUCACACCAUGGGAGUUGAUUGCACCAGAAGUGGAUAGCUUAACCUUCGGGGAGGCGUUCACCACGGUGUGGUUGAUGACUGGGGUGAAGUCGUAACAAGGUA